rnacentral:rRNA from 1 species
CGGACGGGUGAGUAAUGCUUGGGAAUCUGGCUUAUGGAGGGGGAUAACUACGGGAAACUGUAGCUAAUACCGCGUAAUAUCUUCGGAUUAAAGGGUGGGACUUUCGGGCCACCUGCCAUAAGAUGAGCCCAAGUGGGAUUAGGUAGUUGGUGGGGUAAAGGCCUACCAAGCCGACGAUCUCUAGCUGGUCUGAGAGGAUGACCAGCCACACUGGAACUGAGACACGGUCCAGACUCCUACGGGAGGCAGCAGUGGGGAAUAUUGCACAAUGGGGGGAACCCUGAUGCAGCCAUGCCGCGUGAAUGAAGAAGGCCUUCGGGUUGUAAAGUUCUUUCGGUGAUGAGGAAGGCGGUUGUUUUAAUAGAACAAUCGAUUGACGUUAGUCACAGAAGAAGCACCGGCUAACUCCGUGCCAGCAGCCGCGGUAAUACGGAGGGUGCGAGCGUUAAUCGGAAUGACUGGGCGUAAAGGGCACGCAGGCGGUGACUUAAGUGAGAUGUGAAAGCCCCGAGCUUAACUUGGGAAUUACAUUUCAUACUGGGUCGCUAGAGUAUUUUAGGGAGGGGUAGAAUUCCACGUGUAGCGGUGAAAUGCGUAGAGAUGUGGAGGAAUACCGAAGGCGAAGGCAG